UGAUGGGUCUAUCAGGUAACAUGCUGGGUGAUGGGUCUACCAGGUAACAUGCUGGGUCUAUCAGGUAACAUGCUGGGUCUAUCAGGUAACAUGCUGGGUCUAUCAGGUAACAUGCUGGGUCUACCAGGUAACAUGCUGGGUCUAUCAGGUAACAUGAUGGGUCUAUCAGGUAACAUGCUGGGUGGUGGGUCUAUCAGGUAACAUGCUGGGUCUAUCAGGUAACAUGCUGGGUCUAUCAGGUAACAUGCUGGGUCUACCAGGUAACAUGAUGGAUCUAUCAGGUAACAUGCUGGGUCUAUCAGGUAAAGUGCUGGGUGAUGGGUCUACCAGGUACCAUGCUGGGUGUAUCAGGUAACAUGCUGGGUCUAUCAGGUAACAUGCUGGGUCUAUCAGGUAACAUACUGGGUCUAUCAGGUAACAUGCUGGGUCUACCAGGUAACAUACUGGGUCUAUCAGGUAACAUGCCGGGUGAUGUGUCUAUCAGAGAGCCAUGAGCCUCCUAGGUUUUGUAUUGAAGUCAAUGUAGCCAGAGGA
ensembl:lncRNA